rnacentral:rRNA from 1 species
AGAGUUUGAUCCUGGCUCAGAACGAACGUUAGCGGCGCGCUUAACACAUGCAAGUCGAGCGAGAAAGGGCUUCGGCCCCGGUAAAGCGGCGCACGGGUGAGUAACACGUAGGUAAUUUGCCCCAAGGUGGUGGAUAACCUUCCGAAAGGAGGGCUAAUACAGCAUAUGACCACGCUCUCGAAAGGGAGUGAGGUAAAAGCCGGCCUCUUCACGAAAGCUGGCGCCAUGGGAUGAGCCUGCGGCCCAUCAGCUAGUUGGUAGGGUAAUGGCCUACCAAGGCGAAGACGGGUAGCUGGUCUGAGAGGAUGAUCAGCCACACUGGAACUGAGACACGGUCCAGACUCCUACGGGAGGCAGCAGUGGGGAAUCUUGCGCAAUGGGCGAAAGCCUGACGCAGCGACGCCGCGUGAGUGAUGAAGGCCUUCGGGUUGUAAAGCUCUGUGGAGGGGGACGAAUAAGUGUUGGCUAAUAUCCAGCAUGAUGACGGUACCCCUUAGCA